rnacentral:pre_miRNA from 1 species
UCUUAUGCAUGAGCGAAGGAAGUGGUGUCUUGAGAUGGAAUCAACUCCUAGUGAAGAUACUGUGAA